GGUGGCUCAGUGGUAGAGCACUUGCCUUGCAUGCAUGAGGCCUGGGCUUGAUUCCUCAGCACCA
rnacentral:tRNA from 1 species